rnacentral:rRNA from 1 species
CACGUAGUUAGCCGGGGCUUCUUAGUCAGGUACCGUCAUUUUCUUCCCUGCUGAUAGAGCCUUACAUACCGAAAUACUUCUUCACUCACGCGGCGUCGCUGGAUCAGGGUUUCCCCCAUUGUCCAAUAUUCCCCACUGCUGCCUCCCGUAGGAGUUUGGGCCGUGUCUCAGUCCCAAUGUGGCCGUUCACCCUCUCAGGCCGGCUACUGAUCGUCGCCUUGGUAGGCCGUUACCCUACCAACAAGCUAAUCAGACGCGGAGCCAUCUUACACCACCUCAGUUUUUCACACCGGACCAUGCGGUCCUGUGCGCUUAUGCGGUAUUAGCACCUAUUUCUAAGUGUUAUCCCCCUGUCGUAAGGCAGGUUCUCCACGCGUUACUCACCCGUCCGCCACUAAGUUACCAACAUUUCCACUCUUAGCAAGCUAAUCGCUUCAAAAAUGAUAACUCCGUUCGACUUGCAUGUGUUAAGCACGCCGCCAGCGUUACAUCCUGAGCCAGGGAUCGAAACUCU